GAUGAACGCUGGCGGCGUGCCUAAUACAUGCAAGUCGAGCGAACAGACGAGGAGCUUGCUCCUCUGACGUUAGCGGCGGACGGGUGAGUAACACGUGGAUAACCUGCCUAUAAGACUGGGAUAACUUCGGGAAACCGGAGCUAAUACCGGAUAAUAUAUUGAACCGCAUGGUUCAAUAGUGAAAGACGGUUUUGCUGUCACUUAUAGAUGGAUCCGCGCCGCAUUAGCUAGUUGGUAAGGUAACGGCUUACCAAGGCGACGAUGCGUAGCCGACCUGAGGGGGUGAUCGGCCACACUGGAACUGAGACACGGUCCAGACUCCUACGGGAGGCAGCAGUAGGGAAUCUUCCGCAAUGGGCGAAAGCUUGACGGAGCAACGCCGCGUGAGUGAUGAAGGUCUUCGGAUCGUAAAACUCUGUUAUUAGGGAAGAACAAAUGUGUAAGUAACUAUGCACGUCUUGACGGUACCUAAUCAGAAAGCCACGGCUAACUACGUG
rnacentral:rRNA from 1 species